rnacentral:rRNA from 1 species
UACGUAGGGGGCGAGCGUUGUCCGGAAUCAUUGGGCGUAAAGCGCGCGUAGGCGGCCCGGUAAGUCCGGUGUGAAAGUCAGAGGCUCAACCUUUGAAAGCCGCUGGAUACUGCCGGGCUAGAGUCCGGAAGAGGCGAGUGGAAUUCCUGGUGUAGCGGUGGAAUGCGCAGAUAUCAGGAGGAACACCAAUGGCGAAGGCAGCUCGCUGGGACGGUACUGACGCUAAGGCGCGAAAGCGUGGGGAGCAAACAGG